AACAAUUGCCAUUAAACCCAAUACGAAAGCUGAGAUUUCCCUACAAUCACAGUAUUUCCUUUUAUUACUUUUAUAAUUUUAGGGUCUUUAAUUCCCAGUGUUAUUGAUGUGUGAUUGAAUUCUGAGAAUGAGCAUUGCGAAAAUGAAUCAAUUGUCGUUAAAAAUGUGAAAUGGAGUACUGAUUAGGAGGCGGUGGAGACGGUGAGUGAAUUGAUUCAGAUCAAAGAUAUGAGUUUGGAGGUGAAUAUUGAAUGAUUUUAGAUGAGUGUGAGUUGACUUUUAGUCGAGAUCUACAACGAUUAUUGUCCUUCAGAAGAGGAGGUAGUUGGAGACUAUGGUGUCUGUUCUCGAAGAAAUGAGGAGAAUGAUCUGCUCGAGAUGGAAACGAUUAUUAUGGUGAUCGAAGCAUUUGUUUCUAUGAAAGAGAGGAAAAUGACUGUUGGGAUUUUCAUCUAUGGAGAAGUUUAAUAUACUAAAAUGGUGGAAGAGAUGGAUCAUACUCCUUGGUGGGACAUCCUGGGGAUCGGGAAAAGAUGCAUAGACUUUCUUUGAAAAAUUGGGAUGUAGUUUCGUGCUGAAUUAUAGCAUUUAUAAUGUUUCUGCUUAGUCUUUGGCAUCGGGUGAAGAUUUUAAUGGAGUCGUGAAUGAGGUGAAAUAGGAUGUUUGAGAAGGGUA
rnacentral:lncRNA from 1 species